UAAUUUUGUGUUUUAUUUUUAAAAGAAACGCCUUUCUGCAGCGUCUACACAUGUCCUUGGCCGAUGUCAUUUGUUCCCGCUCUCUUCCCAUGAACCUGCACCCGAUAAAUACAGGUGUGUCCUGCAUUUCCCCAGUUGUUGAGCACGACGAGCUUUAUAUGCCAAAAAGCUCUGGGGGUCUCGGUCUGCAAAACAAAGAGGACAACAAGAGACUUAACUCCUGGCCUGGAAGCAACCGCAGCUGCCUCCAUGCAUCUCCUUGUCAGCACGCUGCCUGUUGUGGGGCCAGCUCCCUCCUUGGCCGAGGAGGAGGCUUUUCUCUGCUUCCCUUCUCCCAGGCGGCCCCACUAAGGCCCCCUGUGCCCCAGCAGAGCCAAUGUCUGGCCUGUGGGAGCAGGAGGAGCAGCGGUGGAAGCCUGAUGCCAUGUGGUCCCAGGGGACAGCCAUAUGGCUGGGGAGCACACCUGCAUCGGGGCUGUCUAGGAGUGCCCACAUCGACCUCACCUUUCGUCACAGGAGAGGUGCUCCAGCCCUCUGAUCACCUUAGUGGCCCUCCUCUGGACCGCUCCAAGAGCUCCAUGUCCUUGGCUAUUGGGCUAUUAAAAUAGAAUCUGAUCUAACUAAUGAGCGCACUGUCUUGAUGAGCAAAUGGAGCCCCAUUUUCCCUCUGCAUGUCUUACCUAAGGCAGCAGAGGCUUCUGAAAUCCAUUGCUGAAGCCAGUUCAGAUUACUUUUCAUUUCUUAGCCUGAUUUUCUAGUCCAAGUAAAUGAGCUGGAUGUUGAGAAACUCUGGAAAGUUCAGCAUCUGUACCGGAAUGCUGCUUAUGCCGCAGGUUGAAUAUAAUAUGGAAUUUAAGUCACAGAGGAAAAAUGGAAUGUUUAAGAAUGUAAUAACCAUUUAUAUUACAUAUAUAAAUGUCAUAUUGCAGAUACAUGUCAUACAUACAUGUAUACCUGUCUUAUUACAGAUAUACCUCUCAAUGAAUGCAAUAACCUUGCAGAAAGGUGGUGACAGGGCCAAGCUGCAGAACAGACCAAUCCGUAUGUCUCUGAAAUUGCUAGCUUCCUGUCUUGAAGGAUUUUUAUCAUGGUUCAGUUUAUCAUGGACAUGUACAAAAUCUUUUGUAAAAUUCUGGGCAUUGAAGAGCAACUGACAAGACAAAAGUGUCCCCAAAAAUAACAAACGUACAUAUACUCACUCUGAAAAGGCUUGCAUUUUCCAGUUAACAUUUUGACCACAGCAAAAAUCCCAGUAAAUGCAUGUAGCAAUUAAGCACAUGACUACAAGAGUACUAAAGGUACUCUGAACCCCAACAUGUUCAGAACAAUUGUAAAAGUGCUUCUGUUUUUCCCAGGCUAGACACCAUUGGGCACCCUGACCAACCUAAUCUCCAGUGACCAGGUGACCCUCCUGGUCAGUGAGAGAAAGUCUGUUGACGUAGUCUGCCUUGACUUCAGCAAAGCCUUUGACUCUGCCUCCCACAGUAUUCUCCCAGAGAAGUUGGCAGCCCAUGGCUUGGACAGGUACACUCUUUGCUGGGUAAAGAACUGAUUGGAGAGCCAGGCCCAGAGUAUGGUGGUGAAUGGAGUUACAACCAGCUGUGAACAGUCACGAGCACUGGUGCCCAGGUAAGUGGUAGUGUUGCUGUCCUGGAGGUGUUAAGAAAAAUGGAGAUGUUGCACUUAUGGAUGUGGUUUAGCAUGCAUGAUGGGUUCAUGGUUUGAUUUGAUGAUCUUAUUGUUUUCUUCAAACUUAAUGAGUCUUUGAUUCUGUGGUUUAAGGGCUGGAAUAAAUGCUUGUACAAACUACUCAAUGGGCUAUUUUGUGACCCUUUCUAGUACAUGGAUAUACUGUCCAUUCAAUACUUUGGUUGUUCAUUUCAGCAUAGUUCUGAAAUAUCUAAGCAGGACUGGAUUUCAGGGAGAGGUAAUUUUUAUUACUAUUUCAUUAUUAUAGAGCAGCAGAUAUAGCUGGAAACACCAAUGUCAUGGUUUUGUAACUUCGCUAUUGGUAUUCCACAUCAUAACAUCAUGGACAAAAGAGAAGAACUACGUAUCCCAGAGGACCUCACGGUCAGAGAAGGAAGACACAUCACGGAAGAUACGUCAUCUGGUUGCGCGCAGUUUUUUCUUCACUUUCGCUUGUUGCCGGGAGAGGAGUGGGUGUGCUUUCCAAGCCGGGCGCCUUCAUCAAGGAAUACAGCAUUCAGAGGCACAUCUUUUGUUGCAUCCAGCUAGCGUGCAGCUCUGUGCCCCUGACAGCCACUGCAGUAGCUGGCAGACAGCCCAGUGCUAUGAUUGCAGCAAAACACGAGGUAGCACCAUCCUGAGAGCAGUGCCUUAAGGCUGACUGGGCUGACCUUUAAAAAUGGAAAGCAGAACACAGCAAAAACAUGCUUUUGAGCUGCAAGCACACAGUGUAUUUCCACUGCUCCACCACCAGAAUUGGAAGGACUUUACUGAAAUAACACCUACUAGUUCGGAGAUGCCGUCCUCUCUGACACUUACUGUCUUAAAUGUCCCUGAUUUCAUAAACCAGUUGAUUGUUAAGUAUUGGUUUCAGUGAACAGAAAUCUGAAUCACCAUGCCAUAGGCCCAUCAUGUCAAAAUCAUCCUCACUGUCUUUAAAGUAGUUAUAGCAUUUCACACACAAGAUUUGUAGAGCGAGAGAAUGUGCUCAUUAGACCAAAGUGAUAAAUGGUGGGAAAAGCAGGCUCAAGCAACACAGGCUGUCUUCAAAUCUUUCCAGACGCCAGAGAACUAAAAAUGAAAGUAUUUCUGGGUAGUUUAUGUUUCUCUGGCAAGCUAGACCACUUUCUUUGCUAUUACCUAAUUUUACUUCUUAAUGGAGAUGUUGUACUUGUCUGGAGAAAAUGCAAGCCAAAACUGCAGCUGCCAGUAAAAGUGGAUAGGAGAAGCUGAUAUCUCACUCCAAAGCCUUUUCUUCCCACUUCAGUAACUGCUACUACAGCACAAGCUAUCAGGAUUGGGAAGUUCAAGUGAUAGACUAUGGAAAUUGAUGGGGAAGAUGUAGACGAUGAUGAAGAAGAUGAUAGGGCAUAUGUAAGACAGGAUAGCAAUAGCCCAUUGUAAAUUUACGUACGGUCUCUUGAACAAUAAAGAAGAUGAGCUUGAAUAGAAGUUAUUAUUUUAGGUAACUUUAGUUGUUCAUGAUUUUCUGCUCGGCUGCUCUUACUAUUAAAUUACAGCAAUUUAGGUAUGUACAUUUGCUUAUAUAUGCGCAUUGUAACUAACACAAACACUGCUUCAAACUUAUCCACAGGACUUCUGUAAGAUAAAGAAAGAAAGGAAGAAAAAAACGUGAAAAAUAUAUUCAAAAGGCGUUAUUGAAAAAGGGUAUUUGUGAAUACACUCCUACACUCGCUUGGAUUAAUGUUACACUUUAUUAUUGUCAGUGGCUUGUAUAACCCACUCCUUAUAAGAUUUCAAAGGCAUAAUCGAAACUAAACCUGUGCCUGAAAUCACUGCAAGCUGGUAAAAUGAGAUUUUUGUUUAUGUGC
ensembl:lncRNA